GCGUGUGCACAUGUCGGAUAUAUCGAGUGAACAGAGAGAAAGAGAAAAAGAGAGAAAAAAGGUAUAAAAUCAGAUAAGUAAAGAGAGAGAGAGAAAGAGAGUAAACAAACGAUAUACAUACCGAAAAUAUAAUACAUACUACAGACCGUCCACAUCAAGGACAAGCUUGUCCGUUAAUAGACGAGAGUGAAGGAAAGAUGGCGCAACACUCGAGGGGAAUUUUGUUCUAACCGUUAAUACACGAAUAUAAGGUGACAUCGCAUGACAGGCUUUAGUUCUACGUGGAUUCGAACGUGCACAUAGAAGGUGCGCGUUCAAUCCAUGAUUGAUACGAGAGAGGAAUAAAAAUGGCGUCGCGCGUACACGCUUCUCGAGUACAUUAGAGUAAAUUAAAUAUAGAUGGUAGAUUACAGAACGAAGAAUAUAUAUAUAUAUAUAUAUAUAUACAUAUAUAUACAUAUAAUGAUGAUAUAUUUUUGACUUUUAUUCUAUACGGUAAGCGGGCUAAUUACGAAAUACGUAAAUUAACUUAUCCCUAGGGAGACAUAACCGGAAGGACAGAUGAAAAAGUGUCUGGAUGAAAAAGUCGCAGUUUUUUUUUUUUUUUUAGCAAAGUUUCGAUCCAUGAUAUUUGAUGACCGUGGACGCGAAGAGGGAAAGGGAGGAAAGAAAAGCGUUGAAAGUUGAAAGAAAAAAGAAAAAAGAAAAGAAAACGACUGUUGUUGGAAAAGGAGGAGGGAAAAAAUAGUGGAGAGAGGAAAUGAAGUACUUAUGCUCGACAUAAGUAAAUGGGUGUUUGUUUUACUCGACGGGGAAUGGAAAACGAUGAAAUCCAUAUUUCUCUGCAGAGGUGAAAGAUGUCGUUUCUUCAACGUGUAACGUUGUCGUUUGCGCGGAUUGUUUCCCGGGAGGAUAGAUGGAAAGAUCCAGACGAAUGGAAUGGAAGAGAAGAAGAGAACGUACGGUGUUGAACGCGAUUCACGAAACGUACCUAGGAUGGAAAUAAACCUGGAUUUUUACAAAUUAUACACUUGUAAAAUAUACAUAUUACAAAUAUACAAACACGUGCAUACACAUUCGAACAGUCACAUCUCAGAAUUAUUUUUUUGUUUAGAAUAUCCGUUUAUCCUGCGAAAAAAAAUGAACGAUUUUCCUCUCAGAUUGUUUAAAAAAAGAAAAAGAAAAAAAUGAAAAAGAUGAGAUUGCUUACUGAAAAGAUACCUGUUUGAUUUUUAAUAAUGUAGCAGAGAGAAGAUUGUUCAAAAUAUAUACAUACACACACACAUACAUACAUACAUACACAAAAAUACACAUAUGCCGUGUUUUCAAACUUGGAACUUCUAGAUAAACGAGCAACUAGCAGAACAAAACGGAAUAAUAGGAAUAAUAAUAAAAAAAAAAGAAUAAAACGAUAAAACGCGUUCGACAUUGAUAGCCUCGACGUUUAAACAAACAGAUGGGAGUGGAUGAGAAGAAGAUGAAGAAAAAGAAAAAGAAGAAGAAUAAGAAGAAAAAAAGUGAAAAAAAAACACGUAACGACGAAAUAAUUAACUAACUUUUUCUCGAGAACUAAGCUAACGAAUGAAUUAAAUAGUAUUUUUCGAGUUUAGAAUUAUAUUAAACGGGAAACGAUUAAAUAAUUAAAUAAAUAAAGUCGUAGUGGUUAAAAAACAUCGUAGAUUACACAGAUUCUUAGCUGGUAGUGGACGAAGCGAAAAAAAAAAAAAAAAGAAACUUUUAAACCGGUUCGACUAAUUGCAUGUUAGUUGUAUUCCAGCCUAAACGCCCUAGUAAUGCUUCUCAUUAGUGUGUCGAUUUUAGAAAAUGAAAGACUUUUUGAAAUCCGUCGCGGCCGCCCGCCGUUUCUCCUUUACGAACACGGACGACGAGCAAAACAUAAGAUAAA